GAGUGAGGGGGUGACUGGUGACAGAGUGAGUUAGGGGGUGACUAGUGACAGAAGGAGGGAUGGAGUAGUGACAGAGGGAGGUGGUGACUAGUGACAGUCACCACCUCCCUCACUCUGUCACUAGUCACCCCUUCCUUCCCUCACUCUGCCACUAGUCACCCCUUCCCUCACUCUGCCACUAGUCACCCCCUCUCUCACUCUGCCACUAGUCACCCCCUCCCUCACUC